CCAGGAAAUAUCUUAGGAAGACAAGAAGUGAUCAUCAGUUGGAUCAUCCAGAUAAAUCAUCAGAUUCCGAUCUAUCACCCAGUGUCUCAACGCCGGAAAAGCAUGGAAUUGUGGGCGAAUCAAGCAAGCAUUUAAGACUUCCCUCUGACACGAGCUGCACAGAGAUCCUGCAUUCACCAUCCUCUGGCAUGAACCUGAAGAUGCAGAACAGUUUAAUAAUGAGUCCGAUUCCCAUCUUGCCCAGGCUAUCAAUGCAUCUCUUGAAGACUUUGAAGUACAGUUUGGGCCUGUUUCAAGUCAAGAUGGAGAUAGUCUUGACUCCACCCUACCCUGGAACCCAGAUAACAUCAACACACAUCAGCAUUAAAACACUAAAUGAAGGACCUGUAUCAUCAAACACUAACCCAGCCUCCCCAACUCAGUCUGUCAAGGAUCCGCUGUGUUACAGUCAGACGAAUCAGUGUAGUUCACCAUGUCAUUGAUAUCUUCAUGGAACCAGAAGUGCUGAAUGUUGAGUUAAAGAUGGAGUUAAAAAAUGAAAAAGCUCUUGAUAGUGAUGGUGUGUCAAGAGAAGUGCACUCUGCUUUCUGGGAACAUUUCCUAGAACAGUGUGAGGGGGAGGAUGAACGGGUUCCCAGACUACGACCAGACUUAACGGAGCAGCAGUGGCAAGCUGUUGGAAGAGUUUGGUUAAAAGGGUAUUUAGACCACAACAUCAUACCAAUCCGACUGUCACCAGCUUUUGUUAAGGAGUCAGUUCAGUCGAUGAGGAACUUUUAAUGAUGUCAUUUAGCAGAUUUAUAUCAGGACCUGAGCAGGUGGCCGUUGAGAAAGCUCUGCAAGGCAACAUGGAUGAACCUGCUGAAGAAGACUUACUUGAGCUCUUUUCAAGAAUGGGGUCACACUGCCUGCCCUCAAAAGACAGUUUACAGGCUUCCCUUUUAACAAUGGCACAUAAAGUUCUUCUCCAAGAGCCAAAGUUUGUAAUAGACUGUUUUCACUCCACUAUUCACAAUGCUGUGCCAUCACUCACCAACAAAGAUAGUAUAAUGACACUUUAUGACUCAAAGAGGCCAACUAACAAAAACGUGGCCCAAAUGAUAAAGCCAACAAGUGAAAGCCUGAAUCCACAAGAGCAGUCAGCCCUUAACCACCUGCUGAGGUAUGUGAGAAGCACUGACAGAAGAAAACUAGAGAGAUUCUUACGCUUCUGCACAGGGUCCACAGUACUCUGCAAAGACAAAAUUGAAGUAACCUU